GCUGAGUGUAGUGCGGGAGACUGCACAGGGCCUGGAGAGCAGAGUCCUCUCCCUGAACCGUUGUCUCUGCAAAGCAUGCAAACAUUUGUUUACCAAACAAACAUUUGCUUUUCCAUCUCCAUGGGCAUUGCCUUCCUCCCCUUUGAAGUCCCAAACACCACCCCCAACAUCCUCUUCUGUCUUUAGCUGAAGAUGGUAUUUAAGGAGAUGACUUCAGCCAUUUGGGGGAGUAACUUGGUUUUCCUGGGUCUCUUCCAUGAAUCCAUGUUGUUAAACUUUGUUUUCUCCUGUUAGCCUGUCUCAAGUCGAUUUAAUUCGUAGACCAGCCAGAAGAACCUAGAAGGGUACAGGAAUAGUUCUUCCUCCCAAACACAGGCAAAGGCAGUGUCUUCUGCUCAGCAUCUUGCGCCUGCCCUCACCUCCCCACAGCUCCCGUGGAGACUCCUGCAGAUGAAGGGUCAGCACAAAGUGUGGAGGCAGAUGAGGCAGGGGAAGCAUUUCCACCUUGGCUCACUGGUCUCAGGCGUCUGGCCCCAGCUCUGGCUUUGCAGGCUCUGCGCGUGCCCCUCAGCCUCAGCACUCCGCUCGGAACCUGUGCUUACUUCCACUCACCUGCCCAUCGCUCCCCCGGUCGCCCCUGCUUUUUGGGUUGGAUGCCAUGGGGCAGAGGAAACUCGCUGUCUCAUGAGCAAGGAUGCAAAGUUUGAGGAAUAUCCAUGAUUUUCCUGGUUGGGCCUUUCUGGGUGCAUUUUCCUGUAACAUUAUAAGAGGUGUUUCCCCACUACAAUUAUAUUCCAUUGUGAUGACAAAUUUUUCAGGUAACCUCAACAUUACUUAUAGUGUUUGAAGGGAAAAAUAUGUUCUAGGUGGCAAGAAACUUUUACUGUACAUGGUGCUUAAAUAUGGUUCUGCCUGAAUGAUGUUAUCCUGUAAUUAAGGAUGUCUUCUGGGGAUGAUUGGGGUUUCGCCCUCUCCAGAAGAUGUUAGCUGACACAUCUGCUGUUGCUGUGCAUUUUAUGUAGCAGACCCACAAGCUUUAGUCUGGAAAGGAUCCACCCACUUUGGGUAGGUUUUUUUUUUUUAGGAAGAUUAGCCCUGAGGUAACAUCUGCCAAUCCUCCUCUUUUUGCUGAGGAAGACUGGCCCUGAGUUAACAUCUAUGCCCAUCUUCCUUCACUUUAUAUGUGGGACACCUACCACAGCAUGGCUUGAUAAGCGGUGCCAUGUCCGCACCCGGAAUCCGAACCAGCAAACUCCGGGCCGCCAAAGCAGAACCCACGAACUUAACCGCUGCACCACCAGGCCGGCCCCUGGAUGUUGGAAGAAGAAAAAUCUACAGAGAACUUAAAAUGUGUUAUUUCAAUGAAUGCCUCAAAAAUUUCUGAGGUGAAGCUGCCUACAUUUGUUGCAGGAUUUUCAUUAUAUACCUUAGCUUUGUUAAAGAGUAAAUAUUUCAUACCUCAGAAGUUUAAAAUGAUAGAUGUCUACUUGCAAUGGUGUAACCUUUUUUUUCCUUUUUUUGGAAAUUAGUUAAUUAAUGGGAAUGUUUUGCUUUCGGUUCCAAUUGCCCUUAAUGAAGCUCAAGUUACUGGAGCAACGAUGAGGCCAGCAGAACCUCAGAUGUAGAAGGAAGAUGCUUAGCUUGAGAUCAAGAAGAAACAUGGAACAACUGUUAUUGUCGGAGAGUUUGCAGUUCUUUUAGGAGUCAAUGACAAGGGAAAAGCCCACUGCAGGCAGCGAAGGGGGAGCAUCCUGCCCCAGAGUAAACGCAAGGUGGGAGGGGGGACUUGCCUUGGUGCAAAAAGGCAGAGACUCCCUUUUCUUUCAGAGUAUUUACUUUAGAAAAUUUGUAAUUGUAAAUUCUUUGUCUCUUUGAAAUGUAUGUAAGUCUUUUUUAAAAGCUAAAUAAGCCUCUUGCCAGCUUUAGGACCCAGGAACGUGUUUCUCAAGGACCUGGGAACGUUACAUCACUGAAAUGGGAUCACGGGGAAGAGUCCCUGACAAUGCUCUCACCUCCCAGGUCUCUGUGGCAGCGAGGAGGCUGACACUGGGAGCUGCAAGUCUGGGGAAUGUGGGAGAGAAAUUAGGAGGCAGAGCAGACAGAAGCGCCCACCUAAAUGGCCCCCUCCCAACUGGAUGCCGUGUACUCCUAAUGGUUUUAUCCCUAGCAUCAAGAAAAGGACCUGGCUUGUAGUCUUGUAUCCUGUGUACCAGAUAAGAGUUGAGGUCACUGUCCUCAGAUUAGAUAGGAACUGUUUACUUCUCUUCCCACUUGAACUUGGGUAUGGUUUUUAAGGGCUAUUCAAUGCCUGCAUCCUUCAUUGUUUGUGCCUGCCACUUCCCCCAGCCGGCCUGGUGGGAGAUGCUGGGACAUGUGUGAUGAGGACCCCUGAGGGGGCCCACAGGGCUGCUCCCCAUCUCAGCAUGGGGCUGGGGCCCCUCUGCUGAACCCCUACUCGGGAGUGAUGCUUCCUCACCGUCACCCACACAGGCUCCUUUGACACCACAGUGUUUGGUUGUUCCUGGCUUCUUGCCACAGGUUGGGAGAUCUGGGAUCCGGAGGGGCUGCUCCUGAUAAUUGCUCCUCUUAGAACAGACUGAAUGCUGAAGGUCUUGGGGUCUACAAGGGAAGUCCAACUUACUUCACUUGCUUUGUUUUCUCACCUGGACACAGGUGUCAGGUGGAAAGCCCAGGGCAUGAAGGAGUUUCAGGAGACUGGUUGAUGGAAGGUGCUUAGGGGACAUGUGGAAAUUUACACUUGGGAAACCUGAACUGUGCUGGUCCUCACGGCCUCACAUGCCCCACAUUUGUUCCUUUUCCCUGUUAAUUUCCUACUGGCUUAUUUAAUUCAAAGCUGUAAACUGCUCCUGUGCCUUAUCCUCAGUCCCUCUCCCCUAAUCCUGGUCUCUGUCUCCCUGGCUUAGGGAGGUGGGGCAGGGUCUUGAUCAGGACCUGAAACCGGCUCAACUCAAGGUUGGCAUAAGAGAAGCCAUAUUGCAGAAAAGACACCAUGUCGUAGCUUUGAAUGACCUCUGACUGACUAACCCAGCUGGAUUUGCACCCUCCAGGAGAUCCACCUGCUCGUAGAAUUUAUGACCCCUGCUAGUGCAUAUACCUCCCAGCUGCGAUAAGACGAUAACUUCAUUCUUUUGAGUUCCUUAGGAAUGUGAUGACCCCCAAACAGAGAGUCUAUGCUGAUAGCCAUCAUCAAUGACAACUGAAAGAUCUAGUGUGGCAACUCCCAGUCUGUAGCACCAGAGGGUCAAUGUUCCUACCCCCUCCCCUAUAACCCACUGGCCUGUAUAACUGCUUUAAGAUUCUGUGCCCCCUUAAGAUGGUUCUUUUGGAUGUUAGUCAGCCAUCUUCCCUCUUGCUAGUAAGCUGUAAUAAAAUGCCUUUUCUCUGCCGCCAUCUUGCCUCUUGACAAUUGGCUUUUGUCUUGCUGAGAGUAGAUCAUGCCCUUUUGUGCAGUAACAGACCUACAUCUCAAAGAAUUGAGCGUCACAAAGAGGGUGCCAUCAUUUGAUUAUCUUUGCCUUUGGAUAAUGG
rnacentral:lncRNA from 1 species